CUAUCAUAAGACCUCAGAAGACUUGAAAUAUAGUGCAUGAGUUGCAUGGAUGUUAGAUUUACGGUGUUAAGUAAGUAACUAACUAGUAAGUAAUUACAGAACAUUUGUUUCUGGGUAAAAUUACCAUGUUUCUCACAGCAGAUGAAGGAAGAAACAUGGACCCAGAAUAAUCUCCGGCUGCUCUGUAGCUCUCCAGCCGAAAACAGAGCGUCCACGCUGACCCUGCCUUUGGGUUCGGCUUCUGUGAGAAGUUCUCCCUCCAACAGCACCACCAGCGGAGACACAGAUUCAGCCGUGGUCUUUCCCUGCACCGAGUGUGGAAAGAUGUUUUUGAAGGUGAAAAGUCGAAAUGCCCACAUGAAGACACACCGGCAGCACGAGGACACACAAUUGUGGCAGUUCCCCAGGGUUCCUGAGCAAGAUCAUGUGAUGGUGACACCUGAAUGCCCUGUUACACCACUAAAACAACCCAUAAGCCUUCAUUCUUUAACAUGUGACAGGUCCGCGGAGGUGAAAGCAUCCUUAAAUUACAUGUGCAGUGAGUCAGUGCAGGAAAUCAAUUGUCCUCUGAAGACACUUCCUGUCCUACAGAGUCCACUCGACUAUAUUCCAAGUUAGAAGAUGGAUAAGGAAAUUCUUUGUAGACUAUAAAUUGAUUCUUUCAUGUAAAUGGUGCAGCUAUAUGUAUAUUAAAACUAAGGCGAAGGCACAUCUUUGCUUUAUUUUGGUGUAAAAAAAAUGUAAUGCGCUUUGCUUUACCUGCAUCCUGUGUAUUAUCUGAUUUUGUAUCACAUUUCAUUUGUAAUAAACCAUCUGGUUUCUCAGUGAUUAUCGAACACUCACAUUCACAACAGAUUAAACUCACAAUGGAUCUGACUUUACAGAAUUCCUUUUCAUCAACAGUGAGACUAACCAACCUAAAGACAUGUUCUAAGAAUGUUAUGAAACGUUACUUCUGAUUGUUCUCUAAAUAUUCAAAAUAUCCUGUAUUAAAAAUGUGUUUUCUUGGUUGUGAGAAUGUUAAAGG
rnacentral:lncRNA from 1 species